rnacentral:rRNA from 1 species
GAUGGACGCUAGCGGCAGGCUUAAUACAUGCAAGUCGAGGGGCAGCAGGACUGUAGCAAUACAGUUGCUGGCGACCGGCAAACGGGUGCGGAACACGUACGCAACCUACCCAAAACUGGGGGAUAGCCCGGGGAAACCCGGAUUAAUACCUCGUAACCUUUUUAAGUGGCAUCACUUGAUAAGUAUAGCUCCGGCGGUUUUGGAUGGGCGUGCGCCUGAUUAGGUAGUUGGUGCGGGUAACGGCCCACCAAGCCUGCGAUCAGUAACUGGUGUGAGAGCACGACCAGUCACACGGGCACUGAGACACGGGCCCGACUCCUACGGGAGGCAGCAGUAAGGAAUAUUGGUCAAUGGACGCAAGUCUGAACCAGCCAUGCCGCGUGAAGGAUGAAGGUCCUCUGGAUUGUAAACUUCUUUUAUGGGGGACGAAACCCGGAUAUUCUUAUCCGAUUGACGGUACCUCAGGAAUAAGCACCGGCUAACUCCGUG